rnacentral:rRNA from 1 species
UCGGAACACAGGUGCUGCAUGGCUGUCGUCAGCUCGUGUCGUGAGAUGUUGGGUUAAGUCCCGCAACGAGCGCAACCCUUGUCCUUAGUUGCCAGCACGUAAAGGUGGGAACUCUAAGGAGACUGCCGGUGACAAACCGGAGGAAGGUGGGGAUGACGUCAAGUCCUCAUGGCCCUUACGGCCAGGGCUACACACGUACUACAAUGGUCGGUACAGAGGGUUGCAAUGCCGUGAGGCGGAGCCAAUCCCAGAAAGCCGAUCCCAGUCCGGAUUGGAGUCUGCAACUCGACUCCAUGAAGUCGGAAUCGCUAGUAACCGCGGACCAGCUAUGCCGCGGUGAAUACGUCCCGGCCUUGUACA